rnacentral:rRNA from 1 species
UACGUAGGGUGCGAGCGUUAAUCGGAAUUACUGGGCGUAAAGCGUGCGCAGGCGGUUUGGUAAGACAGAUGUGAAAUCCCCGGGCUUAACCUGGGAAUGGCGAUGGAUACUGGCUCGCUAGAGUGCGGUAGAGGAGAGUGGAAUUCCCGGUGUAGCAGUGAAAUGCGUAGAGAUCGGGAGGAACAUCAGUUGCGAAGGCGGCUCUCUGGACCAGCACUGACACUGAGGCACGAAAGCGUGGGGAGCAAACAGG